ACGAUGCUAUGAUCCCUUGUACACAGCUUUGCAAGCCCAAAAUCUGAAAUCUUUGGACUGAAGCUGUAGUCCAGCAAGAUGUUGUGAGGCUUGAUGUCGAAAUGGAGGAUGCGCUGAUUGCACCCUUGAUGCAGUGAUCCGUUAGGCAUGAAUUCAUAGAUAAGAGCACGCCUUGUUCCAUCUGAGCAGAAUCCCAAGAGACGGACCACAUUAGCAUGGUGGAUUCUACCAAUGGUUGCAACUUCAUUCAUGAAUUCUUCUCCAUCGCUCUUUGAGUUCUCCAGCAUCUUUACUGCCACAGGGAUCGAUAGAGUGCUGUGGCUGCCGUCAACAAGAGAACCACAAAUGUGGCUACCGAUGAUGUUGCUGAAAAACAAGAAUGCAGGCAAACAGUGAGUUAUCUUGCUUUCAUGUCUUUCCUCUUAUAUAUGGGUAAGAUGCAAGAAUAAGAGUAAUAUACAACAAAAUGUAUGCAUAAUACCUGCAAUGACUUUCACACGUGAACCUGCAUGUAGGAAAUAAGCGAUUUAGAUUUUUUGUGCAAAAUAAUACUCCCUCCGUUCCUAAAUAUUUGUCUUUUUAGAGAUUUCAAAUAGACUACCACAUACGGAUGUAUAUAGACAUAUUUUAGAGUGUAGAUUCACUCAUUUUGCUUCGUAUGUAGUCACUUGUUGAAAUAUCUAGAAAGACAAAUAUUUAGGAAUGGAGGGAGUAGAAGGCUUACAAUUUCUAUUUCUUUUUGUAAGAGAGAAAAAAAGGCUACUGACUUCUUUCUCAUGCCAGUUUUUUGUUGAUGGAAUGGAAAAGAGAUUCAACACAUGACAGUAGCUAAUUUGUGGUAAAACAAAGAUCAGUAAUAUACAUUUUUUGUAAUGAUGAAACUAUUUGCAUAUAUCUGAACUUUCUUGGGACAUCAUUUUUUUUUUCUUCAAUAAUAACUUUGAAAGUAUGAGCAUCACAAAAAUGCAGUUUAGUUGGGCUGGAAUUCAGGCCUUCUUUCCAGAAGGUGUUGUAACACUUAUAACAUGAAUAAACCUCAUUGGCUUUUGCAUAA